CCCAGGGUUACCACCCAUUUCAUUUCCUAGAACUAGUGUGAUUAGCUUGUUCUCUCUUUGGUGAUUUCAGAAUGGGUUUCAAUACCCUUAUUUCUUUUGAGCUACAUAUAAGCUAAAGUUUAUAAUCUACAAUUUGUGCCACAAUAUGUCCGAAUUCUUAUCAGGAAAGUGAACCCUGAUCAGGGAUUAGAUUAUGUAACCAAUUUAUUUUUCUACCAAUCCUUCAGAAUGCCAGAUGUUGUAGAACUACAACUCCCAUAAUGCUUGCUUUG